rnacentral:rRNA from 1 species
CCUACGGGAGGCAGCAGUGAGGAAUAUUGGUCAAUGGGCGUGAGCCUGAACCAGCCAAGUCGCGUGAAGGAUGAAGGCGCUAUGGAUCGUAAACCUCUUUUAUCAGGGAAUCAAGUGCGCCACGUGUCCCGUUUUGUAUGUACCUUAUGAAUAAGGAUCGGCUAACUCCGUGCCAUCAGCCGCGGUAAUACGGGGGAUCCAAGCGUUAUCCGGAUUUAUUGGGUUUAAAGGGUGCGUAGGCGGUCCUGAAAUUCAGCGGGAAAAGUCCGGGGCUCAACCCCGGCAUGACGUGGAAACUGGCGGACUAGAGAAGGCGAGAGGUACGCGGAAUGCGUGGUGUAGCGGUGAAAUGCAUAGAUAUCACGCAGAACUCCGAUUGCGAAGGCAGCCUACC